GUCAAGAGCUUUUCAAAAUACUAUAAUAAAGUCUCUUUUUAAUAAGUAUUUUUCAAGUUAUAAGACUUGGAAGUUACAAUACUACUGGCAUUAGCAUUAUGUAAAACCAUAAUCAGACUAUGUAUUGGAGAUUGAGAUUGCAGAUUGAAAUAUAGGGCUCCGUCUAUUUUUCCAAUCUUCAAUCUCAACCAAUAAGCUUCUAGUAUUUAAGUCACGUGGCUAACCUCACCAAAUGUAUUGGUGUAUGUACAAAAUAAUAAGUUAUAACGGGUUAUAAGAAGUACAAACACAGCAAAAUUAAACAUGCAAAUAAAUGAAAUGCGUAUUCAAUAAUUUUUAAUAUGUGUGAUUCUAGCUAUCCGAUAUUUCUUACUAAUUUCAAUCUUACAAAAAUCGUACAAAAUGAAAUAAGAGAUAUAACUUCCAACUUCGCCUUGAUUUUAACAAAUGUUAUCUAAGACGUGAUCCUGAACAACACUCAAAAGCUUUUAGCCAUCGAUUGAACACCUUGCUGUUUUGGAAAGCUAUCAACAUCAGACGCUAUUAGAUUCUGGAAUUAAAAGCUAUCAACACCAACGUUAUUAGAUUCUGGAAUCAAAAGUAAGGUGUUUGUUAAAAAAAAUCGAUGUAAUUGAGCUGACCUUGGCGAUACCUGAAAUCAAAAAUUGUAGAGUUCAAAAAGAUAAAAUCAAUAAAUAGAUCUUUUUGGACCCUACAACUUUUGAUUUCAGGUAUAUGCAAUUCAUAUAUAUAUAUAUAUGCAAAAACAA